ensembl:lncRNA
AGCAGCCUCGCUAAGGGAGGGCUAGGGGAGGGCCAGCAAGCCGUCAGGGAGGGACUCCGGCAGCAACGCGCCUGCUUUCCCGCUCGCUGCAAUUAAAAGAGCGGAGAGCGGGCCUUUCCUUCACUCCGUUCCUCAUUUCGCACCCCAGGCCCUUUUUCCUUUCUCCAAACCCGGCCUCCCACGACCCGCCUCCGGUCUCCUUUGAAGCUCGCCCGGCUGAGGCGUCCCCUACCUUCCUCCUCGGUGGCCAAGCGGGGCUCCCCACCGACGCGGUAGAAGGGCGCGCGUGCGCUCGGGCACAGCCAGCCACCCCCGGAGGCCAAGUUUCCAAAGAACCGUAAAUGGAAGCUGAGAGCGCCUUUGGACUGAAAACAGCCGGACGGUAGAAGAGCCCCAACCAGGGAAUUGAGCCGUCGAUAAUCCGGUCUCCGGAGCUUCUGACUAGCCUGGUCAAUAUUGUUUGAAAUCAGUGAAGGUUUUGGGGUUGUUGGGGUGUUGUUGUUUUUUGGAACUGUUUCUGUCGGAAUCCGAAUCAUUUGGGAACCGCUGGUAGGUGACUUCCUUCCCCACUUAGAAGGCAGAAGCAAGGGCGCUAAAAGAGACUUUAAGCUGAAUGUCCAAUGUCUGUAGAAUAAUAGCAGCAGGAGGGUUCAUUUCCUUUCCAAAAUUAUUAUUUUGUGAUUCUGAAGAUUCUUCAAGAAAGCGUAUUGCCAAACUAUUUUUUUUUUAAGAUCCGAAACAAACACACCAGCGAGUAAAGACAUUUAAAGCUUUAUUGCUUGCUUUAGCAAGUAGAUUUAAACAGAAACAAAAAAACGCAUAACAUACCAGGCAAGAUAACAAUUCUCUGUUCAGCUUUCAGGAACAACGGUAGAGAUUAUGAGAAACGCCACUUUAAUCCAUUUAAAUUUAUGUAUUGCUUAUUUGUGAGAUUUAACCCUCUCAGUUUGAAAUCAACCGGAGACUCUUGAACAAUAAUAAGGAGCUUUAUUAAGCGUUUGCAAAGGCUGGAAACUUCUGUGCUCAUAUAGGUGGAGCUACAGAAGACAUUUUACAUAGAAAUUUUACAUGAUGGUUUUAUAGGAUCUAAAAACUCCUGCCCUUUAUCGAUAUUGGUUAAUUUCUGGAUGCACAAUCUUCCUCUUCCUGGCACUUCUAUCCCAGUAGCUGUUCAUUUCCAGUAUUCUCCCUCUCCUUGGCAUUGUCAGUGUGGUAAUAUAUUUUAUUAAUCAUUUUAUCAUUUUCUGUAAGGCCUUUGAAUAACUAGCAAUAAGUCUAGGGAUAUAGACAUUCUUGGUGGGGGUAGGAGUACCUUUGCUCAUGAGUGUCUCAUCCUGUUUGAUUCUGCAAGUUUAGAAGGAAUAGGAAAAUAGGUAAAAGUUCAAGGUACACAGUUGUGCUUUCUCAUGGGACUUUCCAAACUUUCCCAUGAGACUUUCCGUGGCUGUAUGAUCUCAUCCUAGUAAGGUAACAUCUGGGACUUUCCAAGAUUGUGUGUUCUCAUGCUGGUGAAGUAAUCUCCUGUUGAGGUCAUUGUUUUCUGAAUAUGCAUACUGUAUUUUUGCUUGUGUUUUUUCUCAAUAAAUACUGCUACCUGAGUUCA